rnacentral:rRNA from 1 species
GACGAACGCUGGCGGCGUGCUUAACACAUGCAAGUCGAACGGAAAGGCCCUGCUUUUGUGGGGUGCUCGAGUGGCGAACGGGUGAGUAACACGUGAGUAACCUGCCCUUUACUUUGGGAUAACUUCAGGAAACUGGGGUUAAUACCGGAUAGGAGCUCCUGCUGCAUGGUGGGGUUUGGAAAGUUUCGGCGGUUGGGGAUGGACUCGCGGCUUAUCAGCUUGUUGGUGGGGUAGUGGCUUACCAAGGCUUUGACGGGUAGCCGGCCUGAGAGGGUGACCGGCCACAUUGGGACUGAGGUACGGCCAAGACUCAUACGGGAGGCAGCAGGGGGGAAUAUUGCACAAUGGGCGGAAGCAUGAUGCAGCAACGCCGCGUGCGGGAUGACGGCCUUAGGGUUGUAAACCGCUUUCGACUGUGACGAAGCGUGAGUGACGGUAAUGGGUAAAGAAGCAACGGCUAACUACGUG